AUCCAGCUGAAGAGUCUCAAAUAGGGCAAAACUCGCAUCCUGGAU
rnacentral:hammerhead_ribozyme from 1 species